AAUCUCGAAGCAAUUUCCUGUAUAGGCAGGCCAAAUGUUCAAUUCAAAAUCCUCAAUAUUUGAUUUAAUAAUAUGUACACAAUCUGUGCACAGAUUUUCAGUUGGACAAAUUUAUCCGGCCUCAUUUUCAAUAAUAAUUUUCUUUUCCAAGUCUGUAACAAGAUGCCCAUGGAAAUUUGUUUUUGCUUGAGUUGGAACUUGACCUCGCCUUGUUGUGGACAAAUCAUCAUAAUAUUUACUCGGAGGUAUCUUCAGUGGAUUGGUGGUGCUAGCCAUUGACGGUUUGGGCUGUCCCUCGGAUUGGUGGAUGGCGUCCUCCGGCUCCUCUCGGUGUUCGGCGAGAAACGGGUCGGCUCCAACAUGGACAUGCUGGGUAUCGGCGGAGUGGUAUGCGGUGAUGAGGUGGUCGGCGGGGCUGAUGCAUUGGGCAUCGCAGCAUCACCAGUGACUGGCUCCAAAUGAUGUACAUCCGGAUGAGAAACAGAAGAGUUUGGAUUGGUGUUGUCCAUCGUGAACCAAUAAAUCCGCGGAUGAUAUUAUGGAAUUUAAGCAGUAUUUCAGUAGUAUGUGGGUAGACCAGUGGAUCGAUGCUGAUUUGCUCAAAAUUAUAUAAGUGAUGAGAUGAGUGAACAACAAAUAUUUAUCACAGUGAUUAGUGCCACGAGAUGACUAGAGGAUAAUUCAGUGCACGUUGAUCUUCAAUUGUUCGAGGUAAAACACAUAAAACAGUAAAAUUAACAAUAAAAUAUAAUAUAAGACAAAAUAUAUAACGAUUUCCUGUGAGGUAGGAUACAAAACCUUCUUGUUUUAUAAUUUUCAUCUGGUUCAGUCCACAUACAAAAUUGAUCUGUUCAAUCUCAAGUUCGU